UAACUGCGUCGGAUGNACCUCGCCCUUUAGUGGGGAAUAACCAGGGGAAACUCUGGCUAAUACCGCAUAAGACCGAAAGGUGAAAGGGGGCCGCAAGGCUCUCGCUGAAGGAGGGGUCCGCGUCCGAUUAGCUAGUUGGUAGGGUAAUGGCCUACCAAGGCGACGAUCGGUAGCCGGCCUGAGAGGGUGAUCGGCCACACUGGAACUGAGACACGGUCCAGACUCCUACGGGAGGCAGCAGUGGGGAAUUUUGCGCAAUGGGCAAACGCCUGACGCAGCAACGCCGCGUGGAGGAUGAAGGUCUUUGGAUUGUAAACUCCUGUCAGCGGGGAAAAAGGGACCUGGGCUAAUACCCUAGGGACUUGAUUGUNCCCGCAGAGGAAGCCCCGGCUAACUCUGUGCCNGCAGCCGCGGUUAAUACAGAGGGGGCAAGCGUUAUUCGGAAUUAUUGGGCGUAAANGGNCGCGUAAGCCGGCUUUGCAAGUGGGCGGNGUGAAAUCCCUCGGCCUUAACCGAGGAACUGCCUUGCCANACUGUGAAGCUUGAAACCGGGAAAAGGUGANUGNAANUCCCNNUNGNANCGCUNNAAUGCGUAAAUUUUGGGAAGAACCCCAGUGGCG
rnacentral:rRNA from 1 species